CUUUACUUCAAGGGUAGGAGGUAGAAUGUAAGCUCCCUGAAGACAAGGGAGUGAUACUUCUCCACCUGAUCCAAGUGGUCCAGCCUUCCCACAGACCCUGGUGAAUGGACACCUUCAUCUUCCUCUAGUCCCACUCUGAGUUACAGAAGCAGUGGAAACAUCACUUUGCAAGAGACUGAUGGCUCUCUAAUGAGAACUUAGAGCAAAUCACUCAGUUGUCAGUUCAGCAUCUGGCAGAGCUCAGAAAAAUCUGCCAAACACACGGUCUGGACUGGUGAUACUUCAGGAUACUUCAGGUGAUACCACAAGGUAUGAUGGACAGGCGAUACUUCCUGGUAAAGGCUCAAGGAAGGUUGAUGGCAGGGGGACCUCGUGGCAAAGCUGGCACGUAUUGAGAAAGCAAAACCCUGAGUGGUGAUCUGGCUUCAGCAGAUGCGGAGACUCAGAAGAGAGACACAGGAAACUAUGAGCUCCAUGAAAUUCUCCCCCAAAUAACAGGAAACAUGCUUGCAUCGGAGCAAGUCGAAGUUUUUAGUCAAUUUCACUCUAUUUUCUGAGACAAAAUUAACUUAGGAUUUGGGGACAUCUGUGAGCCUGACUUGUGCACACUUGCCCACUAUAUUUAAAUAUGUCUUAUU
ensembl:lncRNA